UACGGGGGGAGCAAGCGUUGUUCGGAUUUACUGGGCGUAAAGGGCGCGUAGGCGGCCACCGCAAGUCGGUUGUGAAAUCUCUGGGCUUAACCCAGAAAGGUCAACCGAUACUGCGGGGCUAGAGUGCAGAAGGGGCAACUGGAAUUCUCGGUGUAGCGGUGAAAUGCGUAGAUAUCGAGAGGAACACCUGCGGCGAAGGCGGGUUGCUGGGACGUUACUGACGCUGAGACGCGAAAGCGUGGGGAGCAAACAGG
rnacentral:rRNA from 1 species